rnacentral:rRNA from 1 species
AAUCAACGCUGGCGGCGUGCCUAACACAUGCAAGUCGAACGAGAAAAUUCUGGGUGUAGCAAUACAUCCGGGGUGAGUAAAGUGGCGUACGGGUGAGUAACACGUAGCCAACCUACCCUCAAGUGGGGAAUAACCCGGGGAAACCUGGGCUAAUGCCGCAUAACAUCCCGGUUCCACAAGAGACUGGGAUCAAAGGCCCGCAAGGGUCGCUGGAGGAGGGGGCUGCGGCCGAUUAGCUAGUUGGUGAGGUAACGGCUCACCAAGGCGAUGAUCGGUAGCCGGCCUGAGAGGGCGCACGGUCACACUGGCACUGAAACACGGGCCAGACACCUACGGGUGGCAG